GUCCUUGCAUAGCAUCUCGUGCAGUCUUUCCAGGUUUUUAGCUGCAUUUCACUGGGAGAGACAGGGUAGAGUGUGCUUACUCCAUCUUAACUAGAACCGGGACACAAUAGAAUGGUUUUAGAGGACAUUCUUCAAUAUGUGCCUCUGAAGAUGUGCCUAAAGACUCAUCUUAGAACUCAAAGUCAGGUAAAGGUAGUUUCCUGAUGAAUUUCUACAGAUUUAUUUUAUGAAACUGAUAGUUCCCCCUUUUUAUCCCAGUUACUGAAAAACUCAGAAAACAUGAUUUAGUUCACACAAUCUAAUUGCAGUGUCUGACACAUAGGAAGUGCUUAGUAAACAUUAGUCAUCUCCAUACCUGUCUAUCUCUCCUCUUAUCCCCCAAGAACUAAAUGUUAUACUCAAUAAAAGAAAUCUUUCUGAGUCUGUUUUUUUAAAAAAAUAUAAUUUGACUCUUCCCACGCCUUUUAUUACUUGACUUUCUCUUGCAGUUCUGUGAUAGUCGUUUGGGG
rnacentral:lncRNA from 1 species